UCAGUUCGGAUUGAAGGCUGAAAUUCGCCUUCAUGAAGCCGGAAUUGCUGGUAAUGGCAGGUCAGCAUACUGCCGUGAAUACGUUCCCGGGCCUUGUACACACCGCCCGUCACACCAUGAGAGUUGGGAAUACCCGAAGCCUGUGAGCUAACUUUUAGAGGCAGCAGUCGAAGGUAGAAUCAAUGAUUGGGGUGAAGUCGUAACAAGGUAUC
rnacentral:rRNA from 1 species